GUCCACGCCGUAAACGAUGGGAACUAGGUGUGGGUGGUGUCGACUCCAUCCGUGCCGAAGCUAACGCAUUAAGUUCCCCGCCUGGGGAGUACGGCCGCAAGGCUAAAACUCAAAGGAAUUGACGGGGGCCCGCACAAGCAGCGGAGCAUGUGGUUUAAUUCGACGCGACGCGAAGAACCUUACCAAGGCUUGACAUGCACUGGAAUGUCGCAGAAAUGCGGCAGCCCUUCGGGGCCAGUGCACAGGUGGUGCAUGGCUGUCGU
rnacentral:rRNA from 1 species